UACAGAGGGGGCAAGCGUUGUUCGGAAUUGCUGGGCGUAAAGGGCGCGUAGGCGGCCUGCUAAGUCGAACGUGAAAUCCCCGGGCUUAACCCGGGAACUGCGUCCGAUACUGGUGGGCUUGAAUCCGGGAGAGGGAUGUGGAAUUCCAGGUGUAGCGGUGAAAUGCGUAGAUAUCUGGAGGAACACCGGUGGCGAAGGCGGCAUCCUGGACCGGUAUUGACGCUGAGGCGCGAAAGCUAGGGGAGCAAACGGG
rnacentral:rRNA from 1 species